rnacentral:rRNA from 1 species
UACGGAGGGUGCAAGCGUUAUCCGGAUUCACUGGGUUUAAAGGGUGCGUAGGUGGGUUGGUAAGUCAGUGGUGAAAUCCCCGAGCUUAACUUGGGAACUGCCAUUGACACUAUCAGUCUUGAAUACCGUGGAGGUCAGCGGAAUAUGUCAUGUAGCGGUGAAAUGCUUAGAUAUGACAUAGAACACCAAUUGCGAAGGCAGCUGGCUACACGAAUAUUGACACUGAGGCACGAAAGCGUGGGGAUCAAACAGG